UCGAACGCGACUGGGGACUUCGGUUCCCAGUUGAGUGGCGAACGGGUGAGUAACACGUGGGUGAUCUACCUUUGAGUGGAGGAUAACGUUCCGAAAGGAACGCUAAUACCGCAUCACGUUCCGGGUUUGAAGACCUGGAAACCAAAGCCGGGGACCGCAAGGCCUGGCGCUUGAAGAGGAGCCCGCGUCCGAUUAGCUAGUUGGCGGGGUAACGGCCCGCCAAGGCGACGAUCGGUAGCCGGCCUGAGAGGGCGGACGGCCACACUGGGACUGAGACACGGCCCAGACUCCUACGGGAGGCAGCAGUGGGGAAUUGUUCACAAUGGGCGCAAGCCUGAUGACGCAACGCCGCGUGGGGGAUGAAGGCCUUCGGGUCGUAAACCCCUGUCGAAUGGGACGAAAAGCCCGCGAUUUAACAGAACGCGGGACUGACGGUACCGUUAAAGGAAGCCACGGCUAACUCUGUGCCAGCAGCCGCGGUAAUACAGAGGUGGCAAGCGUUG
rnacentral:rRNA from 1 species